CUCAGUUGAGGGUAGCUCGGAUG
rnacentral:piRNA from 1 species